CCUACGAUGGCCGAGUAUUAGGCACUAAGCUUUUAACUUAGCAACAGUAUCUUACUUCGUAGAU
rnacentral:tRNA from 1 species